GGUAUCAGAAGUGCGAAUGCUGACAUAAGUAACGAUAAAGCGGGUGAAAAGCCCGCUCGCCGGAAGACCAAGGGUUCCUGUCCAACGUUAAUCGGGGCAGGGUGAGUCGACCCCUAAGGCGAGGCCGAAAGGCGUAGUCGAUGGGAAACAGGUUAAUAUUCCUGUACUUGGUGUUACUGCGAAGGGGGGACGGAGAAGGCUAUGUUGGCCGGGCGACGGUUGUCCCGGUUUAAGCGUGUAGGCUGGUUUUCCAGGCAAAUCCGGAAAACUAAGGCUGAGGCGUGAUGACGAGGCACUACGGUGCUGAAGCAACAAAUGCCCUGCUUCCAGGAAAAGCCUCUAAGCAUCAGGUAACAUCAAAUCGUACCCCAAACCGACACAGGUGGUCAGGUAGAGAAUACCAAGGCGCUUGAGAGAACUCGGGUGAAGGAACUAGGCAAAAUGGUGCCGUAACUUCGGGAGAAGGCACGCUGAUAUGUAGGUGAAGUCCCUCGCGGAUGGAGCUGAAAUCAGUCGAAGAUACCAGCUGGCUGCAACUGUUUAUUAAAAACACAGCACUGUGCAAACACGAAAGUGGACGUAUACGGUGUGACGCCUGCCCGGUGCCGGAAGGUUAAUUGAUGGGGUCAGCGCAAGCGAAGCUCUUGAUCGAAGCCCCGGUAAACGGCGGCCGUAACUAUAACGGUCCUAAGGUAGCGAAAUUCCUUGUCGGGUAAGUUCCGACCUGCACGAAUGGCGUAAUGAUGGCCAGGCUGUCUCCACCCGAGACUCAGUGAAAUUGAACUCGCUGUGAAGAUGCAGUGUACCCGCGGCAAGACGGAAAGACCCCGUGAACCUUUACUAUAGCUUGACACUGAACAUUGAGCCUUGAUGUGUAGGAUAGGUGGGAGGCUUUGAAGUGUGGACGCCAGUCUGCAUGGAGCCGACCUUGAAAUACCACCCUUUAAUGUUUGAUGUUCUAACGUUGACCCGUAAUCCGGGUUGCGGACAGUGUCUGGUGGGUAGUUUGACUGGGGCGGUCUCCUCCUAAAGAGUAACGGAGGAGCACGAAGGUUGGCUAAUCCUGGUCGGACAUCAGGAGGUUAGUGCAAUGGCAUAAGCCAGCUUGACUGCGAGCGUGACGGCGCGAGCAGGUGCGAAAGCAGGUCAUAGUGAUCCGGUGGUUCUGAAUGGAAGGGCCAUCGCUCAACGGAUAAAAGGUACUCCGGGGAUAACAGGCUGAUACCGCCCAAGAGUUCAUAUCGACGGCGGUGUUUGGCACCUCGAUGUCGGCUCAUCACAUCCUGGGGCUGAAGUAGGUCCCAAGGGUAUGGCUGUUCGCCAUUUAAAGUGGUACGCGAGCUGGGUUUAGAACGUCGUGAGACAGUUCGGUCCCUAUCUGCCGUGGGCGCUGGAGAACUGAGGGGGGCUGCUCCUAGUACGAGAGGACCGGAGUGGACGCAUCACUGGUGUUCGGGUUGUCAUGCCAAUGGCACUGCCCGGUAGCUAAAUGCGGAAGAGAUAAGUGCUGAAAGCAUCUAAGCACGAAACUUGCCCCGAGAUGAGUUCUCCCUGACUCCUUGAGAGUCCUGAAGGAACGUUGAAG
rnacentral:rRNA from 1 species